GGCGGGGUAGCUCAGCUGGUCAGAGCACAGGACUCAUAAGCCUGGGGUCGUGGGUUCGAUCCCCACCCCCGCCACCA
rnacentral:tRNA from 1 species